rnacentral:rRNA from 1 species
GACGAACGCUGGCGGCGUGCCUAACACAUGCAAGUCGAACGGAGAAAUUCAGCAAUGGAUUUCUUAGUGGCGAACGGGUGAGUAACGCGUAGACAACCUACCCUUUAGAUGGGGACAACACCGCGAAAGUGGUGCUAAUACCGAAUGUUGCUUGAGAAGCGCAUGCUUCUCAAACUAAAGAUGGCCUCUAUUUAUAAGCUAUCGCUAAAGAAUGGGUCUGCGUCUGAUUAGCUAGUUGGUGAGAUAAAAGCUCACCAAGGCAACGAUCAGUAGCCGGUCUGAGAGGAUGAACGGCCACACUGGGACUGAGACACGGCCCAGACUCCUACGGGAGGCAGCAGUGGGGAAUCUUCCGCAAUGGACGAAAGUCUGACGGAGCAACGCCGCGUGAGUGAUGAAGGUUUUCGGAUCGUAAAACUCUGUUGUUAAGGACGAAUGUAUAGAUUGUGAAUAAUGGUUUAUAAUGACGGUACUUAACGAGGAAGCCACGGCUAACUACGUGCCAGCCGCCGCAGUAA